GGGCACAGCCGCUCCCAAAAAUGAGCGCCCGAAGGUCGGGGUAACAACACCCCCCAGCGGAAAAAUGGCCAAAAAACGGGUGGGCUAUAGCCUUGGUGGGGGGCGUGGGCGAAGUUCGUCCGCCGGACUCGGAAUGGCCCCAGACUUUGCGGGCGGCCUCUGUUUGCCAAAAAUAGGCCACGGGCACAGCCGCACCCAAAAAUGAGCUCCUGAAGGUUGGCGUUCCAACACCCCCCAGCGGAAAAAUGGCCAAAAAACGGGUGGGCUAUAGCCUUGGUGGGGGGCGGGGGCGAAGUUCGUUCGCCGGACUCGGAAUGGCCCCAUACUUUGCGGGCUGCCUCCGUGUGCCAAAAAUAGGCCACGGGCACAGCCGCGCCCAAAAAUCAGCCCCCUUUCCGUCGGGGCGCCAAGACCCCCUAGCGGAAAAAUGGCCAAAGAACGGGUGGGCUAUAGCCUCGGUGGGGGGCGUGGGCGAUGUUCGUCCGCCGGACUCGGAAUGGCCCCAGACUUUGCGGGCGGCCUCCGUGUGCCAAAAAUAGGCCACGGGCACAGCCGCGCCCAAAAAUGAGCUCCCGAAGGUUGGGGUUCCAACACCCCCCAGCGGAAAAAUGGCCAAAAAACGGGUGGGCUAUAGCCUUGGUGGGGGGCGUGGGCGAAGUUCGUCCGUCGGACUCGGAAUGGCCUCAAACUUUGCGGGCGGCCUCCGUGUGCCAAAAAUAGGGCACGGGCACAGCCGCGCCCUAAAAUGAGCGCCCGACGGUCGGGGUAACAACACCCCCCAGCGGAAAAAUGGCUCAAAAAUGGGUGGGCUAUAGCCUUGGUGGGGGGCGCGGGCGAAGUUCGUCCGCCGGACUCGGAAAGGCCCCAU
rnacentral:lncRNA from 1 species